ensembl:lncRNA
UUCGAAGACAGUACAAAAUAAACAAAGUAAAAUAUCUCAGUAAUAUUUUAAAAAAUUGAUUACAUGCUGAACUGAUAAUAUUUUGGAUAAAUUGAGUUAAAUAAAAAUAAAUUAUUAAAUUAAUUUGAUCUACUUCUUUAAAAAUUUUUUAAUGUGGCUACUAGAAAAUUUAAAAUUUUAUAUGUGGCACACACUGUAUUUCUCUUGGACGGCACUGCCAGACCGUGUUGUAACUGUCCCCUUGUGCUUCUUACCACAGUUGUCUGCCCACAGUAAGCACUCUGCAUGUUCUGACUCAUCCAUGAUUUAUGCAAGCAUGGUUAGAAGCCAAAAAAGAGGAAAAAUGAUAACAUAAAUUGCCAAGUGAGUCCUUUUGGCAUGAGUCAAAUACAGCUUAAAAAACUCAGAAGACAGACUAUAAAUUUUUAUUUAUACAAUUUCACAGGCAAUUUCCAAGGCUCAGGCCCCAUCACGCCUCCUUCCCUGUCCCCUAAUCUUCCCCUCCUUUCACUAACUAACAUGCUAGGAGCAUUUAGUUUAGGCCAGGGACUGUUCAAGGCCUUAAAAAUUACAGUGAUGAAUAAGACCCAGUUACCAGAGAGUCCGCCCCUUAGUAGAGAAAAUUGACCUAUGUUAGUUUGCUAAGGCUGCAGUAACAGGGUACCACAGUGUUGCUUAAACAACAGAAUUUUUUUCUCACUGUUCUAGAGGCUAGAAAUCUGAGAUCAGGGUGUAGGCAGUGUUGGUUUCUUCUGAGACCUUUUUCCUUGGCUUGUAGAUGGUUGUCUUCUCCUUGUGUCUUCACAUUGUCCUCCCUCUGUGUGUGUCUGUGUCCAAAUUUCUUUUUCUUCUUAAGGAAGCCAGUCAUAUUGGAAUAGGGACAAUCCUAAUGACCUCAUUUUAACUGAAUCAUCUCUGUGAAGACUGUCUCUGAAGACGGUCACAGUCUGAGGUGUUGGAAUUAGGAGCUCAACAUAUGAGUUUUUGAGGGAUACUCUUCAGUCCAUAAUGUAGUCUAUGGAGCAAGUGCUAUGGCCACAUGGAAGAUGGAGUAUCUGAUGCUUUGUGGCUGCAUGUUGAGGGUGAUCAGGGAAGACCUUACAUACAUGAGGUGGGGAUUGGUGGGCUCUUGGAGAUGAGCUUUUCCUUUCCUUUAGUUCAAUAAGCAGCCAGCUGUUCUCAGUACAGGUAGAACUAAAUGCAGAUAUUGAGGGACCUGCUACAUUUGAAGGUGUUCUGAGGUAAAGGUGUAGCAAGACCCUCGUGUUUUUGAGUGGCUUAGCAGAAGCUGCCUUACCCCUUGGUAUGCAGAGUUGAUAGUCAAGGAGGUGAUGAUCAACUUGUGAAGGGAGCCCAGAGUAGACAGGAAACUGGUGGUAGAGGCAGGAAUGGAUAACAGCCCCGUAAAAUCAAAUUACUUUCAAGAAAUUUGUUUACACUGGUGAUGAGGUUUCAACCUAAAGGGCCAAGUGUUUUUUGUUGGAGUCCUGGUUUAGCCCAGGGUGUCUUUGAAGUUGGAAGACUUUCUGGACCCACCACCUUUUGAGGAUUUGAACUUUGGGAGCCAUGGAUGGUUGUAGGGAUGUGGACCUAAAGAAGGUGCCCUGGAGGCCAAGUGCAGGGCCUAUGAAGGGGCUUGGACCAGCUGAAGCAUUGCAGCAGAGUGGACAAGUGUCCCUGGGGCUGUGUACAGGGGACAAAUGACUGAGAUGUGUACAGAGAGGAUAAGUGCCCAAGGUUUCCAAGACAAGACAAUGCGGCAAGGAGAGGCAACAGUAGAGGUGGAGAUAGGACUCCAAUGAUCUCUACAGGUCUUUGGCAGUGGACUGUUCCUUCUGGGAGGAAGUAAGCCCCUUGAUUUGUUAGAAGAGGUUUAAGGGGUGUGGGAAAGUCCCAAGAGAAAGAUGAGUGCUUAAAUAAUUAACUGGAAAAAGAAAAAAGAUGUGACUGUCCUUGUACCUUGAGUUGAUGGAGGCCAUUCCAUGGGUUACAGAGUGGGAACAUAUGACUUGGAGUUGGAAGAACGAGUUGGAGAUUUGUAGGAAGGCGAAGUUAAAGGGUGACAUUCGUGGCAGACAAAAGAGCAACUGCAAAGACCUAAAAGAAUCUGGUCUGUUAGAGAAGUGACUGUUGGUGCCGGCUGUAGGGUUUAUGUGGGAGAAAGAGAAAGGGAUAAAGCUGGAAAGGAUUUCCAGAUCCUGCUGGAGCUAAUAGAGUUGGUUCACAAGCAUAUUUGUCAGAAACAAGAACCUCUCAAAUCAAGAUCUUUCUCUGUACCCACAGGACAAAAGAGAAACUUUGAAGAUAUAAUCAGAGGACCUUGAAAGAACAGCUACCUGUAUUUAAUUAUUGGCAAGCAACAUACGAAGACAACUCACAAUUAGAAGUGAACAUGGAGAACUUGGAAGCAGAACUGGACAGAAAGUUGGAUGUUCUAGUGGCUGGUGAUAGCCAGAUGUGUCUAUUUCUACCAAAAGGAUGUACCUGCCACAAAGAUCUGAUUGCGAUAUCUCUCCUUGGACUGAAUCUCUUUGGUAUUCCCUUUUCUAGCUUCCACCAUUGUUCUCAUAUGUUAAAUGAAGCUUCAGCUUGGUAGCCAAUUUUGCUAAGUAGCAGCGAAACUUAGAAAUAAAUUAAAGAGAAUGUAGAAGAUCUUUAAUGAAGACUGGAAAGAAUGGCCUGAAACAAUGGAGGGAAAUACCGAGUUCCUGAGUCAAGGGUUGAGUGUAAAAUUAUCAUUUCUUUUCCUAUUCAACUAUCAAUCAAUAAAACUCCAAUUAAAAUCCCUAGAAAAUUUUAAUUAAAUCUUACAAACU